CCCUUUAUAUAAUUAGAAAACCCUAACAUAUUCUUUAAAUACUUCAUCCUAAUUAUGGAAACAAAAUCACAGAUCACAGUAUUUUCUCAGACAGACGAGGACGUGUGUGAUGGCUUAUCAAGAGUCUGAUACCUUAUCAAGAAUGUUGUUAGCUACUCUACAUAGUUGAACAAUUUCUGCCUUUUUCUAAUGAUGAAGUCUUAUGAAUUAUCAGACAUGUGACAACUUAUCAAAAUUUUUUUCCCUUCUUCACCUCAAGUUCUCAAAUACUACCUAAGCCUAACGAUGAUCCUGACGACUUAUCAUAACUCUAACGGCCUAUCGCACAUUGUCAUUACUUCAUCCAACUAAAUCUCAUACACUACCUAAGGCUGAAAAUGACUUUGACAACUUAUAAGGACUUUGAUGACAUAUCAGACAAUGCGUCACUUCUUCAUUUCAAAUCUCAUGUACUGCCUUAGGCUGACAACAUUCUCGAUGGCUUAUUAGAAUUGUGAUGACUUAUCAGAGAUGUAGUCACACUUCUGCUUCAACUUUCUCAGACUGUCUACUGCUGAUGAUGACUCUGAUAACUUAUCACAAAUUUGAUGACUUAUAAGACAUGUAGUCAACUACACUUUCAUGGCCACUUGUUCUAAAUUUACCUCUUUUGUUCUAAUUGUCUUCGGUUUUCUUGCAUCUUGACUUUCC
rnacentral:lncRNA from 1 species